ensembl:lncRNA
GUACUAGGGAUGGAGGAGUGACCAGGCAGGUACUAGGGAUGGAGGAGUGACCAGGCAGGUACUAGGGAUGGAGGAGUGACCAGGCAGGUACUAGAGAUGGAGGAGUGACCAGGCAGGUACUAGGGAUGGAGGAGUGACCAGGGAGGUACUACAGUAGGGAUGGAGGAGUGACCAUGGAGGUACCACAGUAGGGAUGGAGGAGUGACCAGACAGGUACUAGAGAUGGAGGAGUGACCAGGCAGGUCUGGGCAGAGGAGAUAUAGUCGUUGUUUGUCUGCGUCUGUCAGUUAUUGGUAUGUGUAUGUUGGAAUUUGGUUUGAAAGAAGAAAAAAAAAGAGAAAAAAAAAAUGUUAUUUUGUGUGCUGCAAUAAAUGAUGAAUAAAAUAAAUGCUUAUGUGUCGAUAGGUAUAGUACUGUACGUCAUUAUUCAGUUCAAGCACACAAAGUCUGGGAUUCAAUCAAAGGUGUGUUGUCGACAAACUCACCUGUCAGUUCAGUAGUCAAACCCACCUGUUAGUUCAGUAGUCAAACCCACCUGUCAGUUCAGUAGUCAAACCCACCUCAGUCAGUUCAGUAGACAAACCCACCUGUCAGUUCAGUAGUCAAACCCACCUGUUAGUUCAGUAGACAAACCCACCUGUCAGUUCAGUAGUCAAACCCACCUCAGUCAGUUCAGUAGUCAAACCAACCUGUCAGUUCAGUAGUCAAACCCACCUCAGUCAGUUCAG